rnacentral:tRNA from 1 species
UGGACGGAUAGCUCAGUUGGUUAGAGCACCUCGUUUACACCGAGGAAGUCGUGGGUUCGAGUCCCUCUCCGUCCACCC